GGAGAAGCCUCGAGACUCUGAGCAUGCGCAAUGACAUUCCCGCCUUGGAUGCGUCAUGAAGAGGACGCAUACUAAUUACUAAUGGUUAAUUUCAUGUGGAACUACGUUAUUAGACAGAAGCACACUUCUUCAUCCUGACAUGUUGAGCAGGUUUCUGUGAAGCGCAGAGAUGAGGCAAAUCCGUGCCGGGAUUAUCUCCCACUUUCUCACCUUGCACAGGUGUGGAGAGCUGAUAUGGCCCAAACCCACAUGCUCCCGAAGCACCAUGGGUAGAAGUGGGACAGCUGUGAGAGGGAAGCCACAGGGGUGAGGGAAAACUGGUCUUGUUCAAUGGGCUUUUCAACCCACGCUCCCAGUCCCGCUUUGCUGAAAGCUUUGAAGAGAGUUUGUUUAGCUGCAUGAUACUCCACUGCCGCUUGUUUUGCCUCGUGGUAGGAGCCCGGACAAGAUCCUCGGAUCCGCAGAGUCUCACUGAGCUGAGAGAGACAGACCCAGCGACUGUAGAGAGCAUGUUUGCAGAGGUGAGACUGUCUUCCAAGGUCAUCUUUCCCCGUGGUGGCAUUAAUGAUCUCCAACCCCUGAUCUCCGACCGUCCAGUUGACGCUGAAGUUGGGAGCUUUCCCAGGUGACGCAUGAAAUUCGAGCUCUCGAAAAGCCUUGGCUCACAGCUGCAUGAUAACGACCGCGUUUAACUGGAGUGGGAUUCUUGGUAUCCAACAUGAGGCAUGCGGAUGUGUUUGCGGCAGCAGGCUUCCCUCAGCAGGACGGCUGUUUUUUGGAGGCCAUAAUCAGAGUACUAAUCAGGGGCCAAAUGCCCCUGCUCCAGGGAGCCCCCCGCUCUGGAGAGAGCUGAAGUGAUUGGGGUUUCAGAGCCAAGAAGACAGCCAAUCAGCUGCUUUCUGAGUGCCACUGGAUGCAGGCGACAGAAUGCUAAUGAGAUGGACUCAUUAAAGGUGGUGGGUGGAAAAAAGUGAGACUGUCACAGGAAGAGUUCGACGUUGAGUGGAUCAAGGAUAGGUGUUGACACAAAAGUGGGCCACCUGAUGUCAGCAGCCUUUUUUUUUUUUAAUACAUUGAAUACAAAUCAUCAACCGAAGCUUCAGCCAUGUUUUACAUAGAAAAAGUCAUCUAAACUGUGCAUACUUCAAGAUGGGAAAUCAAAAAGAAACUUUAUCUUAAAACAUGAAAAGGACAAAUUCAAAUAGAUUUGCAAAUUAAAAUAAACCCCCACUGAAGUUCAUAAUUAUUGCAAAGACGAACUUUUAAAUUCGAAUUUAUAAUAUUUGUAAUGCACACACACAUUAUUUUUAUUUAUUUAUUUAUUUUAGAUCUUUCAAUUAGUCAAUGCACAUUAAAUUCCUGAUGGAUAAAAACAAGUCCCACUCUAAGUUUUUUUUUU